GCUCCCCCUGGCGGCGGCUCCUCCCGCGGCCCGGCGCGGCCUUCCAGGGCUUUCUCUGCCGCCCCGAGGACGCCGCGGCGACCCGCGCCGCCCAGACGUGCGCCGGGCGCUGCGUUUUCGCUCGCCGCCCUCCCAGACGGUGCCCGUUCUGACGUACUUGUAAUCCAGUCAGAAAAGAAGCCAUUCACGAGCCCACAUAGUUUCCUCAGUGAGACAAAGAAAUAUUUAUGAUAUGAUGAAACAGCUGAAGAAGUGUUCAGUUCAAAGCUUCAGAGGGAGGAAACAGAAACAGGAGAAACAGGAGACAAGAGACUCAAGAGCUGGAGCUACUUUGAUGUGGAUUUGUGUUUUAUGCACAUGCUUUCAUUGGAAUAGAAUCUGACUGCGUCCCAGACACCGGGAGAAAUGUUCUGCAUAUGAACGGAGGCCAUGUGGCUCCAUGCUACUUCAUACUGUGUGUGCAGGUUCUCGGAGAAAGUGAACUGCUUAUCAUCAUAUCACAAAGAGUCAGCCUUAAUUUUGGCUAAAGAUCAUCUCAGUUUCGAAUGUUCCACCUCUGAGUGAUUUUACUCUUCCCCCGCAUAAAAACUGGUCAAGGAAGACAUGCAAGGUUAUGUUGACUCUAAAUGCAAUUCCCUGGGAGACCUCAUUGGCUCGUCCAUGUGGCAUCUCCGCCUCUGUAGAGCUCUUGGCUACAGGACUGCAAACGACACCCUAAAACGUGGAGCUGCAAACCUUGGUGAUUUAAAUGCAGGCUGCCAGGCAAAUUGCAGUGACAUAAAUUUGGCCCAUGUGUUUUGCAUCGUGUGAAUAUGAAACAGGGGAAGCCAUGGAGCCGAGUUUUGUUGGCAUUGGACUCAGGAGGUUUGGUGAGCUCUUUUCAGACAUGCUGCCCACAGCAAGGUCCCAUCUCAAAUACGAACGUCACCCAGAGGUUACCCAGGUGAUCCUAGGCCAUCCUGAGCAUGCAGCUGUGCAGGGCUUGACCUUGAAGGACAGAUGGCAUCAGGGGGAAUUCUUUUAUACCUUGUAUUGGCCAGGGCUCAGCUUCUGACAUUUCUGUCUACAGACGACAAAAGGCUUUCAUUGUAAGCUGCUUUCUGAUGCGUGCUUAAAACCAAGUUGAACACAUUAAAAGGGAGAAGAAGCAGAAACUUGCUCACUGUGCUCUGUGAAGAAUUAAAAAAAUUUUAUGGAAGUCGAUGAAAGGGAAAUAGAUUUUUGAAAUCU